GUAGCUCAGUGGUAGAGUACUUGCCUAGCAGGCAAGAGAUCCUGGGUUGGAUCCCCACC
rnacentral:tRNA from 1 species